GCUCCCUAGGGAACAGAGGAAACUGAUCAGGGUUGGGGCCACAGACAAGAGGAGGUAACUUACUUUCGAUCAGGGUUUCUCAACCUUGGCACGUUGACAUUUUGGGCUGGAUAAUUCUUUUUUGUGGGGAGUGGUCUUGUGCAUUGUAGGAUGUUUAGCAGCAUCCCUAGCCUCUAACUAAUAUAUUCGGUUUCCUCACCUCCCUCCUCCUCAAUGUAACAACCAAAAAUGUCUCCAGAUGUUGCCCGAUGCCACCUGGGCAGCAAAAUUGCCCCUGGUUGAGGCUCUAGUCUCGUCCAAGGGGUGGAGCAGCAACUCCAGGCUAGACUCAGAACGCACCCAAGCUUAACUCCUGUGUCAAUUUAUACGCUGCAGGGCCUACCCCAAUCAUAUGUUUAGCAUUUGAGGAUCAAGUCAGCUCUAUCUAGGACUGGUGGAUUCAGUGCUACCCAUUGAGGAGAAUUGACAGGUUGGAAGUAGGGGCCUCUGACAGAUACCUGCUGUACACCAUGAGCUAGAUCGAUCAUCUCGCAGAGUCUAAAGGGAAGCUAUUUCAUGAACUAUAUCCCAGCUUCCAUCCAACCUGUGGAUUAUCCCUGAGGCUUUGUGGAUUGCGACUCGGCCGCUUCCCUCUUUGGACUGGCCAUCUCUGCGGUCUCGGGCAUACAUAUUCUUCUCUGAGAAAUUGCAACCCUGGAAGUCGAAGUGGGCCGAGUUCAAGGAGAUGAGCUUUGGAUACAGCAUGUUUUCCACCUGUUUGGGGA